AGUCGAGUGACCCUGCGCCGAAAAUGUACCGGGGCUAAAACAAUUUACCGAAGCUGUGGAUACCUUUAUAGGUAUGGUAGGAGCGCGCUCUAUGUGUGAUGAAGGUAUACCGUGAGGAGUGCUGGAACGCAUAGAAGUGAGAAUGCCGGUAUGAGUAGCGAAAGACAGGUGAGAAUCCUGUCCACCGUAAGACUAAGGUUUCCAGGGGAAGGCUCGUCCGCCCUGGGUUAGUCGGGACCUAAGGAGAGACCGAAAGGUGUAUCCGAUGGACAACAGGUUGAUAUUCCUGUACUAGAGUAUGUAGUGAUGGAGGGACGCAGUAGGCUAACUAAAGCAGACGAUUGGAAGAGUCUGUCUAAGCAGUGAGGUGUGAAUUGAGU
rnacentral:rRNA from 1 species